rnacentral:tRNA from 1 species
AGGGAGUUAGUCCAAAAAAGACCUUUGAUUUCGACUCAAAUAAUCAUGGUUUAAUCCCAUGACUCCCUU